GUCCAAAUGAAGCGUCUUGAGCAACUUGGGAAUGUCAAUAUGUAGAUGUAUACCAGCAAUAUCCCAUAAUCCUCCAAGGACUCGCUUGGAAACUCUCCAAAUGAAAGACAAGCGCCCAUGCCAUUUUUGGCCAAUUCGAAUUAUAGCUGCUUUUAGUGAUUCCUUCGGCGAGAUGAAAAAUCGUGCACGCAAAACAUCCUUACUGAUUUUGGGGACCACACCAUCACCCACUGACUCACUGUUCUUUGAACUUCCCAGUGAAGACUCAGAGGGCUCAUUGUUUGAAUAUAAUAGAGAGUUACCACUCUUAGCUCCAUCACUUAACCAGUCCAACCAUGGUUUUGUAGCAACAGUAACUGAA
rnacentral:misc_RNA from 1 species